rnacentral:rRNA from 1 species
CUCCUAGGGACGCAGCAGUAGGGAAUCUUCCACAAUGGACGAAAGUCUGAUGGAGCAACGCCGCGUGAGUGAAGAAGGGUUUCGGCUCGCAAAGCUCUGUUGGUAGUGAAGAAAGAUAGAGGUAGUAACUGGCCUUUAUUUGACGGUAAUUACUUAGAAAGUCACGGCUAACUACGUGCCAGCAGCCGCGGUAAUACGUAGGUGGCAAGCGUUGUCCGGAUUUAUUGGGCGUAAAGCGAGUGCAGGCGGUUCAAUAAGACUGAUUUGAAAGCCUUCGGCUCAACCGGAGAAUUGCAUCAGAAACU